GACGAACGCUGGCGGCGUGCUUAACACAUGCAAGUCGAACGGAGAACUUUCUUCGGAAUGUUCUUAGUGGCGAACGGGUGAGUAACGCGUAGGCAACCUGCCCUCUGGUUGGGGACAACAUUCCGAAAGGGAUGCUAAUACCGAAUGAGAUCCUCUUUCCGCAUGGAGAGAGGAUGAAAGAUGGCCUCUACUUGUAAGCUAUCGCCAGAAGAUGGGCCUGCGUCUGAUUAGCUAGUAGGUGAGGUAACGGCUCACCUAGGCGAUGAUCAGUAGCCGGUCUGAGAGGAUGAACGGCCACAUUGGGACUGAGACACGGCCCAAACUCCUACGGGAGGCAGCAGUGGGGAAUCUUCCGCAAUGGACGAAAGUCUGACGGAGCAACGCCGCGUGAGUGAUGAAGGUCUUCGGAUUGUAAAACUCUGUUGUCAGGGACGAAAGCACCGAUCUAUAAUACAUUUUGGUGUUGACGGUACCUGACGAGGAAGCCACGGCUAACUACGUG
rnacentral:rRNA from 1 species